UCGCCGGGACGCCUCGGGUG
rnacentral:misc_RNA from 1 species